GUAGUCUGCAACCCGACUACAUGAAGCUGGAAUCGCUAGUAAUCGCGGAUCAGAAUGCCGCGGUGAAUACGUUCCCGGGUCUUGUACACACCGCCCGUCACACCAUGGGAGUCGGAAAUGCCCGAAGUCUGUGACCCAACCUUAGGGAGGGAGCAGCCGAAGGCAGGUCGGAUGACUGGGGUGAAGUCGUAACAAGGUAGC
rnacentral:rRNA from 1 species